rnacentral:rRNA from 1 species
CUACGGGCGGCUCCAGUGGGGAAUAUUGCACAAUGGGCGCAAGCCUGAUGCAGCCAUGCCGCGUGUAUGAAGAAGGCCUUCGGGUUGUAAAGUACUUUCAGCGGGGAGGAAGGGAGUAAAGUUAAUACCUUUGCUCAUUGACGUUACCCGCAGAAGAAGCACCGGCUAACUCCGUGCCAGCAGCCGCGGUAAUACGGAGGGUGCAAGCGUUAAUCGGAAUUACUGGGCGUAAAGCGCACGCAGGCGGUUUGUUAAGUCAGAUGUGAAAUCCCCGGGCUCAACCUGGGAACUGCAUCUGAUACUGGCAAGCUUGAGCCUCGUAGAGGGGGGUAGAAUUCCAGGUGUAGCGGUGAAAUGCGUAGAGAUCUGGAGGAAUACCGGUGGCGAAGGCGGCCCCCUGGACGAAGACUGACGCUCAGGUGCGAAAGCGAGGGGAGCAAACAGGAUUAGAUACCCCAGUAGUC